UCGUGAGUGGCUGGGAGGCAGUGAAAUGUUAGCUGGUUUAAUUGAUUUCACCAGCUUACUUUUUUACUGCCCUCUUGCUGCCCAUACU
rnacentral:pre_miRNA from 1 species